rnacentral:tRNA from 1 species
AGGGGCUUAGCUCAGUUGGUAGAGCACCGGUCUCCAAAACCGGGUGUCGCAGGUUCGAGUCCUGUAGCCCCUGCCA